GGAAUGGUUGUAGCUCAAUAGCAGAGCAACUGCUUCGCACGCAGAAGGCCCCAGGUUGACUCUCUGGCACCUCCA